rnacentral:tRNA from 1 species
AUGAUAAUUAGUUUAAGCCAAAAANAAAUGAUUUCGACUCAUUAGA